GGCGUCAGGAUGAACGCUGGCGGCGUGCUUAACACAUGCAAGUCGAACGAAGACAUCUGAGUGCUUGCACUUGGAUGGACUGAGUGGCGGACGGGUGAGUAACGCGUGGGUAACCUGCCUUAUACAGGGGGAUAACAGUUGGAAACGACUGCUAAUACCGCAUAAGCGCACGGUAUCGCAUGAUACAGUGUGAAAAACUCCGGUGGUAUAAGAUGGACCCGCGUCUGAUUAGCUUGUUGGUGAGGUAACGGCCCACCAAGGCGACGAUCAGUAGCCGGCCUGAGAGGGUGAACGGCCACAUUGGGACUGAGACACGGCCCAAACUCCUACGGGAGGCAGCAGUGGGGAAUAUUGCACAAUGGGGGAAACCCUGAUGCAGCGACGCCGCGUGAGUGAUGAAGUAUUUCGGUAUGUAAAACUCUAUCAGCAGGGAAGAUAAUGACGGUACUUGACUAAGAAGCCCCGGCUAAAUACGUG
rnacentral:rRNA from 1 species